CUUGGGGCUGGCAAGGAGGGUGGCAAUGCUUCCUCUGCCCCAAAUGAGGAGCCUUCAUUAAGGAGAAGAUAUCAAGAUAGAAGAUAUUAUUAUGAAGCUCACCUGGAAUUCAAGGAUUUGUUUCUGCUUGUUCUCUUAGGGCUCUGAGUGAAAGUUCAUAUCCAAGAAACAUAGCAGCACUCAUUGGGAAUCCUCGCACUGCAUUCACUGUGAGGCCCUUGAAAAAGACCUGCUCAGAACAGGAAAGGAAAGUUAAGAUGUCAGCCCCAGAAUCAAGGAAGUGUGAUCCAUGGAUGGCCCAAAGGCAUGAUUUCCCUAUUUCCAGCUCAAACACUAACAAAUAGUGUGUGCGCGCUUUAGCUAUAGCCAUAACAUCAGCUACAGCUUUUGCUCCAGCCUUGAUUCCAGCUUGGAUCCUAGCCUCCAGUUUGGACCUGUCUCCAGACCCAAAUCACACACCACGUUUGGCUACCCUAAAGAAUCGGACCUUAGGCAUCCAACCACCUCUGGAUUUUUCUUGGAACCAGACAUUAUCCUGGUUUCCCAGCUUGUGAGUGGCACGUUUGCCUCUCCUUUGCCCUGCCUUCCUGCCUUGUCCCUGUGAGGAGACCCGCCAACACAUGCUACCCUGCAAGUGUGACCGACAUACCAUCAGAUAUUGAAUUAGGUAUUACUAAUUGACUAUCUUUCUAACUCUCCUCAACGUCUUCUCUCUUUUCUUUAAGUCUAAAGCUUCUCUUCAGGCCCUUAUUCUAGUUAACCCUGAGCAGAUUCUGUAAUAAUUUGAACCUUAAGCUAAAAUGCCUCUUUGUGAGAUUCCAAAUUAGCAUUAUUAGUUAAUAUUUUAUUGCAUUCUUGCCUGCUUAAUCAAUUUUUAUAUUCCUGUACCCCUAAAUCCCUAAAUAAAUCUGAUUGUACCA